rnacentral:lncRNA from 1 species
AAAUAUUUAAAUAAAUAAAAAUCUAAAAAAAUUAAAAAUAAUUUUUUUAAUUUUUCCUCGAAUUAUACUAUUUCAAAAUUCAAACCCUAAACCCUAAAAUUCAACUCUAAACCCUAAACAAUCAAUCCUAAACCCUAUUCUUUUUUUGAAAUACGAAUCCUAAACCCUAAACCAUCAAUUCCAAACCCUAUUUUUUUUAAAUACAAACCCUAAACCCUAAAACAUCAAUUCUAAACCCUAAACCCCGAAACAUCAACUCUAAACCCUAAAUAAACCCUAAACCUUCAACUCUAAACCCUAAAAAAUCAACUCUAAACAAUAAACCCUAAACUUCAACACUAAACCCUAAACCCUAAACUAUCAACAAUAAACCCUAAACCCUAAAAUGUAAACUCUAAACCCUAAACCCUAAAAAAUUAACCCUAAACCCU